rnacentral:rRNA from 1 species
GAUGAACGCUAGCGGGAGGCCUAACACAUGCAAGCCGAGCGGUAUUGUUUCUUCGGAAAUGAGAGAGCGGCGUACGGGUGCGGAACACGUGUGCAACCUGCCUUUAUCUGGGGGAUAGCCUUUCGAAAGGAAGAUUAAUACUCCAUAAUAUAUUGAACGGCAUCGUUUAAUAUUGAAAGCUCCGGCGGAUAGAGAUGGGCACGCGCAAGAUUAGCUAGUUGGUGAGGUAACGGCUCACCAAGGCGAUGAUCUUUAGGGGGCCUGAGAGGGUGAUCCCCCACACUGGUACUGAGACACGGACCAGACUCCUACGGGAGGCAGCAGUGAGGAAUAUUGGUCAAUGGGUGCAAGCCUGAACCAGCCAUCCCGCGUGAAGGACGACUGCCCUAUGGGUUGUAAACUUCUUUUGUAUAGGGAUAAACCUACCCUCGUGAGGGUAGCUGAAGGUACUAUACGAAUAAGCACCGGCUAACUCCGUGCCAGCAGCCGCGGUAAUACGGAGGGUGCAAGCGUUAUCCGGAUUUAUUGGGUUUAAAGGGUCCGUAGGCGGACUUAUAAGUCAGUGGUGAAAGCCUGUCGCUUAACGAUAGAACUGCCAUUGAUACUGUAAGUCUUGAGUAUAUUUGAGGUAGCUGGAAUAAGUAGUGUAGCGGUGAAAUGCAUAGAUAUUACUUAGAACACCAAUUGCGAAGGCAGGUUACCAAGAUAUAACUGACGCUGAGGGACGAAAGCGUGGGGAGCGAACAGGAUUAGAUACCCUGGUAGUCCACGCCGUAAACGAUGCUAACUCGUUUUUGGGCUUUAGGGUUCAGAGACCAAGCGAAAGUGAUAAGUUAGCCACCUGGGGAGUACGCUCGCAAGAGUGAAACUCGAAGGAAUUGACGGGGGCCCGCACAAGCGGUGGGUUAUGUGGUUUAAUUCGAUGAUACGCGAGGAACCUUACCAAGACUUAAAUGGGAAUUGACAGCUUUAGAAAUAGAGCUUUCUUCGGACAAUUUUCAAGGUGCUGCAUGGUUGUCGUCAGCUCGUGCCGUGAGGUGUUAGGUUAAGUCCUGCAACGAGCGCAACCCCUGUCACUAGUUGCCAUCAUUCAGUUGGGGACUCUAGUGAGACUGCCUACGCAAGUAGAGAGGAAGGUGGGGAUGACGUCAAAUCAUCACGGCCCUUACGUCUUGGGCCACACACGUAAUACAAUGGCCGGUACAGAGGGCAGCUACACAGCGAUGUGAUGCAAAUCUCGAAAGCCGGUCUCAGUUCGGAUUGGAGUCUGCAACUCGACUCUAUGAAGCUGGAAUCGCUAGUAAUCGCGCAUCAGCCAUGGCGCGGUGAAUACGUUCCCGGGCCU